GACGAACGCUGGCGGCGUGCCUAAUACAUGCAAGUAGAACGCUGAAGAGAGGAGCUUGCUCUUCUUGGAUGAGUUGCGAACGGGUGAGUAACGCGUAGGUAACCUGCCUUGUAGCGGGGGAUAACUAUUGGAAACGAUAGCUAAUACCGCAUAACAAUGGAUGACACAUGUCAUUUAUUUGAAAGGGGCAAUUGUUCCACUACAAGAUGGACCUGCGUUGUAUUAGUUAGUAGGUGAGGUAAUGGCUCACCUAGGCGACGAUACAUAGCCGACCUGAGAGGGUGAACAGCCACACUGGGACUGAGAAACGGCCCAGACUCCUACGGGAGGCAGCAGUAGAGAAUCUUCGGCAAUGGGGGCAACCCUGACCGAGCAACGCCGCGUGAGUGAAGAAGGUUUUCGGAUCGUAAAGCUCUGUUGUAAGUCAAGAACGGGUGUGAGAGUGGAAAGUUCACACUGUGACGGUAGCUUACCAGAAAGGGACGGCUAACUACGUG
rnacentral:rRNA from 1 species